rnacentral:rRNA from 1 species
AUUGAACGCUGGCGGCAUGCCUAAUACAUGCAAGUCGAGCGGCGCGGCGGAAGGGUGAUUAAUGCCUAGGAAUUUGCCUGGUGGUGGGGGAUAACGUCGGGAAGCGGGCCCUAAUAACACAUACUUUCAGAUGAGCCUAGGUUGUAUUAGCUAGUUGGUGGGGUAAAGGCUUACCAAGGCGACGAGGCGUAGCUGGUCUGAGAGGAUGAUCCGGCACACUGGAACUGAGACACGGUCCAGACUCCUACGGGAGGCAGCAGUGGGGAAUAUUGGGCAAUGGGCGAAAGCCUGAUCCAGCCAUGCCGCGUGAGUGAAGAAGGUUUUCGGAUUGUAAAGCACUGUAGUUAGGGAAGCGUUACCAAAAGAGUAAGCCACGGCUAACUUCGUGCCAGCAGCCGCGGUAAUAC